rnacentral:lncRNA from 1 species
UUCGAUGAUGGGAUUUUUCCCACGGCAGAACCUACAGGCCUUGAAGGCCAUGCAUGACAUUAUUCUUGAUAAUUUUAGCACAUGAAUUGUACUCGUCAUCUUGACCAAAUUCUUGCUGCCUCUUUGAUGUUGGUCUUUUGGAUGAGAAUUGUGGAGUGACUGCAAAGUAGAAAACUACUGGAAAGGUUUGUAAAAUCCCUGGUAUCAAGUAUAAGGUCAUGCGUGGCCUUAACACUAUUAAGAACUGGUUUCCUAUUGAUGUUGUUAGAGAAGAUGGUUAAGGAAUCUGGCUUUGGGAAUUAUAUCUGCCUUCUUAUAAGUACAAUAUUUUGCUAACUUGAUGAUUCUAUAAAAGUACGAGCUUAUUUCUUUUUGUUGUGCUUAAUGCUCUUCUGUAAGGACACCUCUUUCUCUUUGCGAUGAAACUGUCCCUUAUAAUGUCUUCUAUUAGUUUUCUGAAUGCUUGUGACAGGUCAACUUGAUGAUUUUGACAUUGGUGUUUGGCUAUCAUGGAUCAUGUGUGAUGCUGAAGCCAAAUGUUGAUGAUGCAAUUAGAUAAACAGGGAGAACAUGCUACUCUUUUUUUUAUGAUGCAUAAAGUUUGAGACAUGUAGUAUUAAUUAUAGCUGAUGUAGUUAGUUCCUAGUGGAUUCUGUGGUUUGAUAGCAUCUGGUAUGAUCUUUUAACACUUGAGGAACUUUUUUUGAUUUUCAUGAUUGGUACUAGAAUAUGGACUUGUUAAUUUUACCUGGCUCUUGUAGGAAGAUUUGCAUCAGUUCGCUGUAUGUAAGGUUCUAUUAUGUUUGGACACAUGAGCUAGAGUCGAUUUUGAAAAUCAAUUACUUGAGGAGGGAAAAAGUAUGCUUAGUUGCUGAUACAUGUGCUGCAGAACCAAGGAGAUAAUCAUUCAUCUGCUAUGGCAUUGUGAAAAGUGGGUAGGAGCUUCUGAUUUUCUCUGAGUCUUUAUUACACAGAAGCUGAUGUCAGUGUAAGUGGCUGUUCUCAUGGGAGAGCAUGUAGUUCUCUAGUCAGGAGGCUGUACAAAAGGUAUGAGAUUUUUAUCUCCUACAUGCUUGAUGUGCAUUGUACAGAGGAAAAUGAAUAUUAGGUUCUUUGAGGAUAGAGAGAUCUAUUGUGCAGCUGCAGCAUAUUCUGAUGAGUUGCUUCCUUUUAUGGCAGAAGAGUUAUACCUGAGGUCAGUCAACUUAAUCAUAUUUUCCAAGCUACUUUGUCUUGAGAUCCUUUUGAUAUGUAGUUUGUUUUUAUAAUUUCCUUGAUGAAUAGUAGUUUGUUUUGAUAUGUAGUUUGUUUUGUUUCUCCUAUUCAGUUGCUCUGUUUUGUUGUUGUUCAUGUGACAAUUCCCCCAGUUAAGCACAUGUUUUGAAUAACUACUCGUUUCAAAGUAUAUAAAUAAAAUAAAACUUCUCGUCAAUUCCUACCCUGGUCCGGUCCUUUCUCUCCACAUAUGCUUGUGGUCACACUGCUUUAGAACAUGCUAGGAUCCCUAUAUGUCCACAUCUUUGAGGUAUUUAUCGCACAUCGCUGCUUGAUACUUUUGGAAAGUGGCUUUACUGAAUCUGAAGCUAGUUAUCUCAUGUGUACUGUUCACAAGUUUGUGGAAGACCCUUUACGAAGGGGAUUUUGCAAUUCUUUGUUAAACUGGUCUUGGUUGCAAUUCUUUGUUAAACUGGUCUUGGUUUAUAGUUCUUAACUUAGUUUUGACUGAGGAAGGUGACUGAACAUAGUUGCUUGCUCGUGAUCUUUGGUUGCUUGUCUUUUAUAUAUCUUAAUGUUUCAUACAGACAGACAAGAAUGUACUCUAGGACAACUAUCUAUAGCUUGGUGUAUGACACAAUGUAUGUGUACACUUAUAUUCAAACAUGCUUCGUUAUAGACUGCUGAUAACUUGAGCAUUCAAAUUAACUUACCAUGAUUUUCUCUAUCAGUUUGUCUUUUUGAAAUGUAAACAUUAUGUAUGAAAAUAACGUUCUAAGAAAUUCUGCACUUGGUGGAUGGUUUUCAGAGAUGUUUUCAAGACUCAAGUUAUGACUAUGUUGUUUCUUUUGAGUAUUGUUCUUUGUACCUACUGCUAUUGUUUUUGUUUUACCUACUUAAGAUUUUGAAAUGGGUUGGUUGAAUUUGAAAUUAACUUGCUGAUUGAGUGAACAUUUAUGCUGGAGUCUAUUGCUCUGACCAAGAUUGUGACAGUUAAAGGAAGUUUGCUUAUAAAUCAGUCAGAAAUUUCAAAUGUCGAUUGUAUCCAAUAAUCUUUAUUUAGAAACCAGGAUAGUGUUUCUUAUAGAUUAUUGUAUAUGCUAAAAAUAGUUUUGUAUUUAUGGCAUCAACUAAGGUAUCAUAUGGUGGUUGUACUCUGCGAUCAACACAAUAUGUGUCGACAUACUUCAUCAAAUUUUACUUGAAUAGGAUAUGUGAAAUAGAUAACUAUAUUAGUGCCUAAAUACCUUGGUGUCUUAUAUUACCAAUUUCCCAAAAACUUUUAAACUAAUUUUACUUAUUUGGGUUUAAUAAUGAUCUCCUAGUGGUACUAAGAAUGAACUUCAUUUGCCUCUUGCAAAUUAGAAAAGGCUGGUCAUGGUAAAUCCAAGCAUUUUACUCAUACUUGAAAUGAGGGGAUGACAAGAUCAGACUGGAUUUAUUCUUUUAGUGUUGAUUUUUGUAUCUGGGCAAAUUUUGAUGAUUGCUCUGAUGGUACUACUGAACUUAUUUUUUGCUCGUAAAAGAAGCUAAUAUUAAUUUUUGUGGUUUGAGGGUUUAGGUUGUUUUUCCAGUAAAGGUUGAUGAAUGCUUCUAAUAUCACUCACGUACACACGAUGACUUAAGAAUGCUAUCCUUUACCUUUCCAGAACAGAAUAUUAACCUUUAUGUAGGAGCUAACUGAACAACUCUCUUUUUUUGGGUGCUAACCGAACAACUUAAUGUAUAAGAAUUUUUAGUUUGUUUUGCAGUAUAAGCAAGGGUUGAGAAAAUCAACGAGGGGUCUACUUUUUUAUUAUUGAUUUUUUAGAUAGAAAAAGAAGAUUUUAUCAGUAAAAGAAAGAAGAAACGAGAAGGGUACAAGUAGUGCACCAAUAGUGGAACAAAAGAGAAAGACACUAAACAAAAGAUAAAAAACACACAAAUAAGUUGAAGGAUUUCUCGAUCUGUCUCGGUGUGGGGUGUGUGUGGGUAUUAAGUGGCAGGACCUUAGAUAUCAAUUAAACCUUAAUUGUUGUCUAAACUUCAGCUAUAGCCCUAGGUAGGAAAAUAUCUUUCCCUAACUGUUUAUAUGCUGUGCAAGGCAAGAUGUCGAUCUAUGUUGAUAGGGGAGAGUAAUCCACCACUCUGCAAAGGUGGAUCCAUCCAAAAAUACAUCUUUGCCUAGCUCCCCUUUACUAAUCCAUUUUAGCACAUUUGUCUCUAGACCCUCAAGCUUCUCCUUUAUGUCUUCAAAUCUCUUAUUUCGAAGUUCCUCCACCUCGGCCCAAAAACAGGAGCCUGAGCUUGAUUCAACUUGCAUCCUUGAAGCAUGUUCAUGCCAUCUCUGGGUGUAUCUGUAGCGUCGUGGCCUACCCUUUAUCAAGUAGGGUCCUGUGUCAUCAUUCUUCAAGUGUCUAUAAUAGUUUGCAACAUCUAGGGGCUCAACAAGUUGUCGAAAUUUGGUUCCCAGCUGUAUCCACUCUGUGCAACUCUCAAAUCCAUCUGGAAGUUCGUAUCUCUUCAGCAGUUCAAUAAUCUCAUCCCAUAUGCCUGCUAGCUCAAGCCUACUCACAUUAGCAUUGAAAUCUUUGGGGUCGUUUUGAAGUUUGAAGGCAUCGUAAUAAUUCGUUCCGAGCACUUCACAUCCCUUCUGGUAUGCUUCUAUUUUGUGUAAUGCCUUUACAAUGAUAGUCUUGUUAGAAUCAAUCCUGCUUUGAUUUUUUAUCUUUUGCUCUUCUAAUUCGCCAGCAGCGCGAAGACAUAGUCUGGCUCUUGUGCUCUGGAAUAUCAAGAUCAUAAAGUAAGUUUUAAUGUGUUUAAUUAGCUGGGGUCAAAACGGUGUAAAUCUUAAAUGUUCCCUUUUGCAACUAUAAAGUUGGCAGAGUAUUAGACUUUAUUGCUGCAUGAUUAUCUUUUUUUUCCCUGCAGAAUGAUAAAAAAUAAACCAAUACAAUUCAAAAGAGUUGAAAUGAUUGAAACUUACUAGGCCAAGGUCGUUUAGGGCUGUGUUAACUGUUGUAACCUCAUCCAAUGUGUUGCCAACUGAAGACAAAGGAAGUUUUUCCAGGUGAUCUAAACAAAUUACAGUUUGCAUUUCCAAGCUUUCCUGCAAUUCCUUUUCGUAUAACAUAUGCUCGUUUAAGCUUCUAAUAGCAAUCUCUACACCUUCUCCUUCAUUGCUUAACUGAGAACAAUAGAACAACAUCUGCAGAACAGCGUCUGGAUUCUCCACCACCACCAGUUUUCCAUUUGUAGAGCAGAAGACAUAGGUGCCAAAAGGUCUGUAAGGGCUAAGUUUAAUGAAGUUAGAGAAAGUUUCCAAUAGCAUAUUUGUGCAUCCCAUGAGGUUGCAUGCAGCAUGGCUUGCAACAGAUGAUGCAUUUCUCAUGACAUUCAUGAAAAAAGCAUGAGCUUCAUUAGCCAUAACUUCAUUCUGGGAAAUUGGGAUUUUUAAAUUUUUGAAGAAAUUGAGAACUUUCUGUAAUUCAUUCUCCAUAGCCAAGCGAGGAGCAAGCAUUAUACGAGGUACAAUGUCAUACUUCAUGACAAAAUGUACAAAAUAACGAGACCAGUUCUCUCGCGUAAUAGCAUGUCCAAAAAUCUUGUCACCUGUAAGUGGGGAUCCGAAAGUCACACAACGACAUGGAAUUUGAACGCCUUCUGCUCUUGUGUAUUUCUCCAAGAACCAAAGGGUUGCGAAUAUGGCCAUUGGCCCCCCUGAGGAGUGCCCUGCAAACGCUAUUUGCUUUCCCUUCUUUAUAUUUUUCUCCACCUGAAAUUGAAGUUUGAUAUCAGUAUUAUUUUCAUAUAAGAAUACAUCAUAGCAUAGAUUAUGUUUAAAUUUGCUUCUAAAAAAUUACUACUUUUGCUGCUUUUUUGGGGUUGGGUCAAAUUUGAUUGGUAUUUAACUUGCAUAUGCGGAUGCAAACAGGAUAUUUGUAAUCAGCAAG